UACGUAGGGGGCAAGCGUUGUCCGGAUUUAUUGGGCGUAAAGAGCGUGUAGGCGGCCGCACAGGUCCGUUGUGAAAACUGGAGGCUCAACCUUCAGACGUCGAUGGAAACCGUGCGGCUAGAGUCCGGAAGAGGAGAGUGGAAUUCCUGGUGUAGCGGUGAAAUGCGCAGAUAUCAGGAGGAACACCGGUGGCGAAGGCGGGUCUCUGGGUCGAUACUGACGCUGAGGAGCGAAAGCGUGGGGAGCGAACAGG
rnacentral:rRNA from 1 species